rnacentral:rRNA from 1 species
AGCUAAUAGAUACCCUGGUAGUCCACGCCGUAAACGUUGGGCGCUAGAUGUGGGGACCAUUCCACGGUCUCCGUGUCGCAGCUAACGCAUUAAGCGCCCCGCCUGGGGAGUACGGCCGCAAGGCUAAAACUCAAAGGAAUUGACGGGGGCCCGCACAAGCGGCGGAGCAUGCGGAUUAAUUCGAUGCAACGCGAAGAACCUUACCAAGGCUUGACAUACACCUGAAAAGGCUGGAAACAGUCUCCUCGCAAGACAGGUGUACAGGUGGUGCAUGGUUGUCGUCAGCUCGUGUCGUGAGAUGUUGGGUUAAGUCCCGCAACGAGCGCAACCCUCGUUCUAUGUUGCCAGCGCGUAAUGGCGGGAACUCAUAGGAGACUGCCGGGGUCAACUCGGAGGAAGGUGGGGAUGACGUCAAAUCAUCAUGCCCCUUAUGUCUUGGGCUUCACGCAUGCUACAAUGGCCGGUACAGAGGGCUGCAAUACCGUAAGGUGGAGCGAAUCCCAAAAAGCCGGUCUCAGUUCGGAUUGAGGU